AAUUCUAAGCCCUUCUCCUGGAACGAUCCCUUUGUUUAUGAGCAGGAACCCUUUCCCUCUGUGUCCCUGCCUCUGGCAAGAUUUUAAACAUCAUUAAGGCUGAAAACACAUCAUACAAACUAGAAUUUUAGAAAGAGGAGAGAAAAAGAGGAGAAUGAGACAAUUGGGCAACUGGGAGAAGCACAGAAAUAGGAGGGAAGCCGAGAUUCUGGAUGUGACUACAAGGCCAAGGCCUGAGGAGUAGCUAGCGCUGUCUUACUCCUUUCUGAAAGUUGAAUUGGGGGACAUUCACUUGCAUUUUGUUUCAAAAAAUAAACACAACCUGAAAAGUAA